rnacentral:rRNA from 1 species
GAUGAACGCUGGCGGCGUGCCUAAUACAUGCAAGUCGAACGAGGUGCUUUUGUAGCAAUACGAGAGUAUCCUAGUGGCGAACGGGUGAGUAACGCGUUGGUGACCUACCCCAAAGUGUGGGAUAACAGUCCGAAAGGAUUGCUAAUACCGCAUGUGGUCUUCGGAUUUAGAAACUGAUGACUAAAGGAGCAAUUCGCUUUGGGAGGGACCUGCGUCCCAUCAGCUAGUUGGUGAGGUAACGGCUCACCAAGGCGACGACGGGUAGGGGACCUGAGAGGGUGACCCCCCACAAUGGAACUGAAACACGGUCCAUACACCUACGGGUGGCAGCAGUAGGGAAUAUUGCUCAAUGGGCGAAAGCCUGAAGCAGCAACGCCGCGUGUGCGAUGAAGGCCUUCGGGUCGUAAAGCACUUUUCUGGGAGAUGAGAAAGGACAGUAUCCCAGGAAUAAGUCUCGGCUAACUACGUGCCAGCCGCCGCCGUAAUAC